UUAAUAUUUUUUCAAAAUAUUCAGUCUCUCCACUAAUUCAAAUUGGCUACCCCUAUCCAGAUUUGUUUGUGUUUUAUUGUAUUGACAAGGAUUCUGGCCUAACUCAGAAUUCAGAUGUAGGUUCAUUGAUUUUAAGCCAGAAAAGACCAUCAAAACCAUUUGGUCUAACCUUUUCAAUGUAUAGCAGAAGAAACCAAGGCUCAGGGCUUACUCAAGGUUAUCUAGUAAAGUGACAUAGUUGGCUCCUCAAAUUCUGAAUAAAGAAUUAUUUUCACUGCAACGUGCUUUGUAAUUUGAAGUAAUCUGGGAAAAAGUUAAAUCAGUGUAAUCCCUCAGUAGCGAGAUACUUUUGGACCCAUUGAAGAAUCCUACAUAGAAAAAAAAAAUCAGUUUGAAAUUCUUCUUUCAUCAAAAAACUUUGAAUAUCAAUUUGAAAGGACAAAUUUGUAUUUUCUGACUUGAGACUCAUAUUACACUGCUUAGAAGGUAUGACUCACAAAAGAAUGAAGCAACGUGUUAAAAGAUCGAUUGAUUUCUUUGGUGACUGCCAAAUGAGAUAAUUAAGGCAUAGCAACAAUCACUCAAAUUAAACCGAAUGGGGUUUUUGGCCCAUCCUUUCCUUUUGUACCUGUGUUAUUAGAACAAACCCUUUUAAUUAUAGUUUCAGUGGUUAAUGUCAGCCCCAAACCUCUUCCUAAUAACCAUGUGUGUUUAAACAUUUCCCAGUGCAGAGUACAAUGUCUCCAGUCCUUCAGGGAAGCUGCUUGGCAUUCUCACUGUCUCACUUUGUAGUUACUUUCCUACUUAGGUAUUCCACACGCUACUUCCCCAGCAUACAGCGCUCUCGCCUGCCAGACCUGCCUGAUUGUAUAUUCUGUUCAAGCAAAGACCUUCACUCCACUUCACCAAUGGCAAUAUUUUUCAUUAUACUUUAACUCAGAAUGCAGCUGAAGGCUCUGGGGGUGAAGGAAUGAUGGAAGAUCAUCACAUAGACGCUGACAAAAGAGUGGACAACAAUCACAAAUAGGGAACCAUGACUCGGGACCAUAAGAAUUUUAAAAAUCCAUUCUAAACUAUGAAAUUAAAUCUUGUGGAGAUGAUAGAAAAUGUUCAGUAAGAAUCUUGUUAUGCCUUGGUGGCUCAUUACCAGUUCUAGACAUUUUUGUUUAUACUGAUAUGAUCAAGUGGGAGAGAAAAAGGUACAUUGAUUCACCAAUUGGUUGCUAGAAGGGACUUCAUAGAUCAUCUCGCCCCAGCAUCCUUCGCUCUUCCCACCCCUGUUUUUCAAAACAAGGGAACUAAAACUCUGAGGGUUGAGAUGGCUCACUCAAGGUCACACAGUUACUUAGUGACAAAGCUGGGGACUCAAAUCUGAGCCACAAAGAUAGAGAUGAUUGAAGCUUUGCCCUAAGGUGCCAGGCUUAGAGAGUACUGCUGAUAACACAUCCAUUCUCUCCUAUAGGUAAAUACAAUACAAUUUCCUAAUUCUUUGCCAAUAAUAUUUUGGGAUUUUUUUUCCUCUCUUUUCUCUACCAAGGGAAGGAAAUAAACAAGCAAUUAUUAAACAUUGACUUGGUGCCAGGGACAGUGCUUUACAAAUAUUUUUGCCUUUGACCCUCACAGCAAGCCUGUGACAUCAAUGCUCUAAUUUUUUCCAUUUUCUAGUUGAGUAAACAAAGACAAGAAAAGGUUGUGUCUUGCCGUAAGGGUCACACAGCUAGUUAAGUCUCAACUAGUAAAUUUUCCUGAAUCCAAGCUACCUAGUAAUUGGCUCAAUCAUAUGAUUGGCAUGUGGCAGAUGCAGACUCAUGCUUCUUGAUCUAAAGGCAAACAUUUUCAGUGUAGGCAUGAUUACUCAAAACUUGUUCAAUAAUUUCUAGAUCACUUAUAUGUUUUUCUUUCUUUGUCCCUCAAUGCCACUUCUUAUUAAAUAGUGUGGCUUUAUUUAGACAUAGAGCUCACCCUGAACAAGUAAAUGUAUGAUUGUUAGAGAUUACAUUGAAAAGAAAUGGUAGGAAUUUCUGGAAUAGAUGCUCCAAAAGACCAGUGUCCCCAGAAUUCAGCUUUUUAAAUACUAAUUCCAAAGUUGUAGCAUUUCCCUUCUGAUAUACAGAUCUGCUAAUUCUUUUGGGGACUUUUAUAGUGAUAUUGGCAUGGACAUUGUACCCUCCAAAGUGUUUCAGGCAAACUGUAAGCAGGGAAAUUCCUUUGCUCCCUCCUAUCUUUGUGACUCCUAACCCCAAACAUCUGAUAACUCCUGAGAGAAUUAUCCUCUUUGGAUAGUCCUUUAGAUGAACAGAGAUACACUUCCUUGAUAUCAUCAAGUUGUAAAUCAUCAAGAGGACAUCCAUCUGUCCUCUAAACUAUGAAGGUCACCCCCUCUGUCUUCAGGCAAACCUCCCCCCUGCCCAUGCCUCAGUGCAUACCACUCUAGAGGCACCUCUUCACCAUGGCACAGAGUCACAUCUUCACUCUUGUAAUGAGUAUAAAGACCCCAGAACUGAUAUCAUCUGGGAACAGCUUUUCAUCUAUGCUGUUCCAUCUAGGAGGCAGUCUGCCACCUAUGCUGUCCUCCUGGCCAGAUUCAACAUUACCUUCCAAAUUAAUACAUUUCUUUUUUAUUUUUAAGCUAAGUUUCAGGGUCUUGCAUCCUUGCAGAAGGUACCCUGUCCAAAUCCUGGGGGUUCACCUCAAACCCCCCACAACAAUAUCAGAAACCAAUAAGGUUCCUUCAAAUGCUCAUAAGAGUGUUUUUAUUUAUACUCAUUACUCACUGUUGCAAAGUAAUAUACAUUGAAAGGAAGGCUCUACUUGCUGAAGAUGGCUCACAUAGGUUUAUGAGAGUUAAAUACUUAUGCUUUCCAGGGGUAAAGUGAAAAAAAUGUAAUAGAGAUGAAGAUAGAGUUGAACAAAGAAGAAAGGCUCUUUGAACUGGGUCCUUUUCCUUUAUAGAUAUGAAUACUGUCAACUAGAUCUGAUUUGAAAAGGGGAAAGGAUGUUAGUAGUGGAAUUGGAUAUCUUUUGUCCCAUGAUAAAGGAAUAAUGGGUCUUCCCUAGUAAGUUUAUUUAGGGGAAAAGAUUUCUAGCCUUUUGUCAUUUAAUGAAAUUCCAUGGUACAUAGAUUUCCAGUGAGAAGGAACUGCAGAGUUUAUCUAUUCUAAUACCUUUAUCUGAUUUGAUUUGACUUGAUUUUUAUUAACAUGCAAAAAUCACACCUGCAUAUUGGUCAUUGUUUAUUUUAGAGACUAGGAAGCUGAAUUACAAAGAGAUUAAGUAACUGGCCAAAAAGUAAAUGGGAGAUUCAGAAUGUGAAUUCAGGCACUUGAAUCCAGAGUUGCAUCCAUAUCACUCCUGUGAGCUGCCUUUGAAGGUGGUUUUGUUUUGUUUGUUGUUGUUUUUGUCUAACACUUCAUGACACAAUUUUGGAGGUUUCUUGCCAUUUCUUUCUUCUCCAGAACAUUUUAUAGAUGAGGAACUGAGGCUGCCUGGGUUAAGUGACUUGCCCAGAGUAUUUGAAUUCAUCAUGAUGAGUCUUUCUGAUUCCAAGACAAGUGCUCUAUGCACCUCCUAGUAGCCUACUUGGGAAGCUCCUCUGAUGAAUACCUGAUGGAGAUAAUUAAACUGCCAGGCAAAGGAAAAGGAUCAUGUCUCAAAGGAAAAGAUCCUCAGGAAUCAGAACAAUGCUCCCACCUCAAAAGUUUACUACUUUUUUGAACAGAGUGAGUCAUUUAAUCUUCCUUGGCCUCAUUUUCCUCAUCUUUAAAUGAGAACAUUGUACUAGAUUACCUUUGAAGUUCUUUCUGACUCAAGGUCUAUUAUCUUAUAAGAAUGCCAAUUAUUAGAAAGUUUUUUUUUUUAAUUUGAAAGAGUAAAAAAAAAGAAAGCAUUAGAAAUCACAUUUGUAUGUCACCAAGGUAAAAGACAGUGUUGCCCUACCCUUAGUAUCACCAGCAUAUACUUAAUGCCCUGCUCUUUUUAAAAUAAAAACCAAUGUUAAGAACUAGAAAAUGCCACAAAGGAAAGCAAAGAUGUAGUAGAUACCCUGUAGGAUUUUGUUGUGCAUAUUGUCUUUCAUUAGUAUCUAAUUAAAAAUAAUUAUUACAAAGAAAAUAAAGUUUCUUCUUGCAUAUGUUUUCAGUUUUUAAUGUCCCCUGGAUUCUGAGAGUUAGAACAAACACAAACAUCAUACUGUCAAAAUGCUCAUUAAGAAGGAAUAAGAACAAUCCAUGGAGACUGCUCAAUGUUUGACUAGAGGCUCUUGGUUCUUGGUUUUGUUUUCUGUUUUUUUUUCCUUGAAAAAUAUAGAAAAAACAGAAUAACUCUGGUUUCUUCUCCCUUAACUUUUAAUAACUGUAUCUGUUUGAUCUACUUUUUAUUGUUAAAAGAGAGUUUCAAAGAAUGUUAAGAAACAAUAUUUCAGACAUUGAUUAAUAGGAAGCUGAACUCAGUCAAAUUUUCUAGUGGCUCACAUCUGAAUUUUACACACACACACAUACACACACAUCAAUCACAGUCGUAAACCAUUUUUGUUCUUUCCCCAAAACAUUUCUGAAGUUUAUUUUUUUUAUACUCCUGACAUUUUGUAUAAUGUAAAUGCCUUAAAUCAGCAGCGGGGAAAAAAGGAAACUAUGUGAAUAUAAGAGAUUAUUAUAUUUCUGGUAGGCAAUAAAUAAGUCAAUUAUUAUAAAAGAAAAUCAAACAGGAAAUGAAGAACAUUUGGUACUUGAAUAAAAUAACAAUAAGCUGAAAGCUAGGAAGCCUAGAUUUGGUUUGAAUUCUGCUACAUCAAGCUGUGUGACCUUGGGGAAACUAUCUAACCCUUCUUGUUCUCAGUUUCUUCAUCUAUAAAACAAACCACUGAACUGUUUUCUUUCUGAGAUUGUGUCCAUUGUUAAACUUCUGGAUUCUGAGUGAAUGUUGAAAAGUUUCCAAAUAGUUAAUCCCAAAGUGAGUUUGAUCUCUUAGGUUAGCAGUACUCCAAACUGGAUCCUUUAGUUGUUAUCAGUCAUGUUUGCUAAUUUUUUUCAACAAAGAGGGCUGGUUUCUAUGCAUUAUUCAUUUUGCACAUGAAUUUGUAUUUAUUUAAUCAUUAAUCAUGAUAUUCCCUUCACUGUUGGUACCUCCAGAAGUCUGCUCUUCUGUAAGACCCAACCAAUGCCCACUGAAAUUUAACACUAAUAAGACAUCAUCACCAAAAUAAAGAAAUCUGCUUUCAUUCAGUCCCUCUACAAAAUGGUUGGCAUUUUUUUUUAACCAUACAGGAAGUUCCCAUAUUCAAAAGUCCUAAGGGAGUUCAUUUGCUCAUAUUCUAGUAUUUUGGAAUUUGUGAUCAUUCAUGCUGGACAUGUAGGUUAUACAUGAAAAAAAUGUUAAAGAAAUAAUAAUGUGAAAAAUAUUGCAGGAAGAAUGUUAGAAACUAAAGACCAUGCAUGUUAGAGACCCAAAUAUUAGAGAGAAUAUUUUUCGGGAAGAGGAGUAUAUUCUAAUUACUAGAACCAACUUUAAAAUAAUAAAACUAUUUCUUUUUUUAACAUUAAAUGCCUUAGAUCUGUUACUUAUUCAAUGGUUACUUCAAGUUAGUCUGAAAUCAUGAAGCUUUCUUGCUGUAUUUCGACUAUCUUGUCAAUAUCAACGAGAUAGGAUUUAAAUCGAUAUAUCAAAUAAUGACACUCCUUACAAUUGGCUUCAUCUGCAAAUGUGUUUUUAUUAGAAAAGGCAGGUAACUUGGAAACAGACAUACUCAAAAAUCCCACUCUACAACUACCAAACUAUCAAGAGUGAUAGGUUAAUCCGUAACUAAGCUACCAGGCUGUGAGUGUGUAUAAUGGGACAUGAUUAUUGAACAUAGAUAGUAUGAGACAUUAUGACAAAUGUUAUUCUGGGAAACGUGAAGGACUAAAUGAUAUGAUGAGUCAUAAUGGGAGUUUCUGUAUGUUUCAAAACAGUUUUAUGAAGAGAUUCAAUAAUGUCUUUACUUUGAAAUGCCAGUGUCUUUCCCAGAGACAAUCUCUCACUUUCAGAGGUGGGAGAGUUUUAUCUAAAUAUUGUUCUUGUUCUUUCAGGCACCCUGAAAUGCAUUCCUGUUCAUGUUUUGUGUCUUGGUAAUGCACCUUUCAUAAAAUUACCGUGAGCAAUUUAUGUUAUUUGAAGCCUGAGCUUUCUAAGCAUUUUUUGUUUGUUUGUUUUUAAAUUAAAGGUUAGUUAAUUCUGGAAUAUUUUCUACCUCUAAUUUUUCAAGGACAUAGAAAGACUAUCAUUCCACCAAUAACAAUCUUUAAAAAAAAAACAACUAUCUUUUUAGUUUUUUUUUUUUUAAUCUUUAAAUGCUAUUGAGAUAUUUGUAGGGUGCAGUCAGGUAUAAUUCCAUAAUGAUUUCAAUCUUAAAAAUGAGAUGCCAAAAAAAUUCAUUGUUUUAGCACUCCCAAAUCAGAUGAAUAUUUAGUCAACUAAACAUCAUCUGAAUGUUUUCUUAAAUGCAGGUCCAUUAUUCUAUCUAACGCUAACAUCAAAACUCAUUUCACUGAUAUAAAACUACUGUUCUGUAUCUUCAAUAAUUUCCUUUAGCACUGAGAGAAGUGAUUUUCCUAUUGUAAAAUUUAAAUCAAUAUCAAUAACCCCCGGUUCUUAUUUUUCCAGAGUUUUAUUAAUAAUCACUAAAGAUAGAGAAAGCAGAUUAUAGCCUAAUGUAAUCUAACUAACCACCUGUGUGAACUCUCUCGCCUGGCUCCCAGCCAGGUUCUCUAGCCACAUUCCAGGAAGUAGAGAGAGGGGGCGGGCCACACAGAAACUUUUAUCCUCUGUCCCUCCCCUCACGCAUGUGCGUGCCCCUCUGUUCACGCAGCGUAAGCACACAAACGGUAUGCUGCGUCAGUCGGUAGGGGUCCAAGGAGCCUUGCGGAGUGAAUUCCAUCUACACACUACCAGAACACAACUUUUACGUUUUAGAGGUUUCUUAUACAUAUUUAUUGAAUUACAGAAGACAGAAGCAAGGCUGUAAAGAAGGCAAGCAGGAAGGAAGGUGUUCUUCUGUGUCUCCCACCAAUGAACUUCACCUAAAUAUUCUUCAGCAUGCUUCUCCACUACAGUUGGUGAACUUACUCAAAGUAAUAUAUUUUCUUCAUAAACAACAUCAUGCCUUUUCAACAAGAUGUGCCACUUCGGUUGCUGAAUUUCUGUCAUGAGUCACACCCCACAAGCCUCACUGAUACCUAUCUGGUUUACUAUACUUCAUAGUUAUCACGGAGACUUGGUGAGGUAUGGCGUAUUUCCGUCGUUUUAAGAAAGAAGAUUUUUUUUUUUAGACUUCAGAGAAAAGACAAGUAUCCCAGGGACAAAGAUUUUUUAAAGAAAUACAGCCAAGUGUAUGGAAGAUUCUUGUGGUGUACUCACAAAAGAUCCCAAUGAUGAAAGAAAUGGAAAUUCAUCUAAAGAAACUAAGAUGCCUACCAAAAGAACUCUCUGGUGAAUUCAGAUUUAGUGCAUCCAUAUGAUGGAAAGAAGGACUGCAAAACAAAGAUAAAUAUCAAUCAAAUAGGCACCAGUCUAUAGGAGAACUCUCAGAAAAGCAAAAACCCAGGAUAACCUAAAGAUUUUGAAGAAUAACAGGAAAAGACAAAAAAAAAAGACUUAAAAAAAACUGUCUGAAUCUGAAGAUAAAAAAGUAAACCAGAAAUUUUUGUCUAAACUUCUGAGGAAUUGCAGUAUAGUGGAAAGAGCACUAAAAGAGAACUAAUGAAAUUAGUAUACAUGAUGUAGAAUCUUAGCAAAGAAAUUAAGGUUCAGAAAGAGAAAAGAAAAUAUUUGAAAAUAAAAAAAAAUUGAAGUGGGUAAAAAUUUGUCAGAAGAGAAUCAAAAGAUAAUUUUAAAAGAACAAGAGAAUUCUCCAUAAGGUAAAAUGACUCACAUUGAAGAAAGAUGUGUGCACAGACAACCUAAGAAUCAUAGGUUCCCUAGAAGAAUAUGAUAUAUAAUAAAAACAAAGUAAACAUAAGCAAACAAAAAAUUACUAUAAAAAUAAUGCAAGAAAAUGGUCAAGAACUUUUGAAUAUAGAUUACAAAGUACUGAUUGAUUGAAUCCAUAGAUCUUAGGGGAAAGGAGAGUGAAAGGGAGAGUAGAAACAGCCCAUGCUUAAAACUUGAGAAAUAUUAUAGUAAAGUAGAUAAAGCCCUGAACUAGGAGGGGUAUCUGGUUUCAAAUCUUAUUUCAGAAGCAUAUUACUUGUGUGACCCUUGGCAAUGCUCUUAACAUUUCUGUACAUCAGUUUCCUUUUAAGGGCACAAGUCAACUCAGUGGCUGCUAAAGUCCAUAGAUUUUAGAUCUAUAAACCAGAGAAACUUUCAACUCAAGAGAUGUCUUUUCUUAUUAUGAGGGAAACAGAUAAUAAAGAAGAAAUACAUAGUGAGGGGAUAUGUUAUAGUGAGAAAAUGCCUUAUUUAUGUGCUUUUAGUUAAAUUACUUUUCUUAGCCUCAAUUCCUCAAUUAUAAAAUGAGGAAUUUGGACUAGAUAGUCUCAAAGGUUCAUUCUAAUUCCAAAUCUAUUUAUUAAUGAUUGACAAAGUUUAGAUUUUGAAUGAAAAAAAAAACAGCAUUCACAGAAGGUCGUAAGGGUAAAUAUACAAGGAAGAGGGCAAAGUAAUGAGAGAUUAUUAGGAAAGGGCUGAUCAAAAGAGUAUUCCUUAAUCAUGAAUGUUGAGUAGGUAAAGAGGAAAGAUUUUGAACCUAUAGGUCUCUGGGAAAGGAAAUAAAUGUCAAAGGAGUGGAGGUGGGGUACAAAUAAAAAAGAAAAAAGAAAAAAGAGAAUUUGAAUAAAUUAUCCUGAGAUUGAAAGAUAAAUAGGAGUUUGGUGAUGGGUUAGGGCAUUGACUCUCAGAAUAAAUAACCAUUAAAGUAGUCUAGUGAUAAAAACUAAUUACAGGAAGAAAGUACUGUUUUAAAAGAAGAGGGGUCAAAAAUAAAUGAAGAAACAUAAAGUUUAAGGAACCUGCUCUUAGUAACAUUAAAUAUUAAUAGAUUGAUCAAUCAAAUAAUAUGGCAGAAUAGUUAAGAAAAUAUAACCAAAAAUUAAGAAGGAUAAAGAAAUACUUCUUAAAAUAAAAAUAUUAUAAUAUGAAAAGAGGAAUACAAAGAAACUAUUAACGAUAUUUAAAGUUAAUAUGAGUGAUGAAAAAUAUCAGUCCUAAAACUACAUACAUCAAGUGACAAAGCAUCUAAAUUUAUAAAGAAAAAGUUGAAUAAAUUGCAAAAAGACAAAGUUCUGAAAUAGAGAGGAUAUGACCAUAAAAUAAUUAAGUACAUUAAGUGGUUCUUUGAAAAGAAUUGCAAAGUCAAUUAAAAUUAUGCACUAGCAAAACUGAAAAUUUAAAAAGAAAGAUUGUGAACUAGAAAUCUUAAGCAAGCCAAUCAAACAUAAUUAAAUUAAACAUCAUAAAGGAACUACAAAAGAAAAGUCUCUCAGUUCUAAUAGACUUAAUGGUAAUUUCUAUAAAACAUGAAGAAUGACUAAUAUCUCUUCUACAUACUCUAUUAUUGAGAAUUCAGAAAGAAAAAAUAUUAAAUUUCUUUUAUGAGGCAUAUAUUGCUCUUAUAUCUAAACUAUGGAGGAAUAAAGCAGAGAAAAACAUUUUAUGAAUAUUGAAAAAAAUAAAAAAAAUGUUGUAACAGAAUAAACCUGAGACCAAUUUAAAUUUAUGCCAGGAUACAGAGAUGAUUUAACAUUAGCAAAACAGCUAACAUAGUAUCAUAAGAUCAUAAAUCUCUAGAUAAAAGAGACCUCAGAAACCAUUUAGUCCAAUAUUCUUAUUUUACAGAUGAAGAAAAGGCAGAAGGAGGAUAUGUGGUUUGCCCAUAACAUAGUAAGGCUGACUAGCAAUAAGGGUCAUACAGCUAGGACGUGUUUGAGCCCAGAUUUGAACCUAGGACCUCUUUUCUCUAGGCCUGGCUCUGAUUCCACCCAGCCACUCAGUUGCCCCCAAGAAGGGAAAUUAUUGGUUGUAGGAAAACAAAAUGCCUCUGUGUCAGAUUGUGAAUUUUAGAUUUACUCCACCUUAAUCUUUUGAAUUUUAGCAACCAGGGAUAUAUACACCCCUACUUAAGAAUUAAGAGUGGGGAAAGAAGGUCUAAUACCCCUGUGUGCUAGCAAGUGACAAAUAAGAAACAACUGACUGUCCAAAGCCAAGUUUAAGCCACCAUUGGUACAUGUGAGACACAGGAAGUGGCGUAAAGAACUGUCUUCAUAUUUUGCAUCACUUCCUGUGAGCGGAACUUUGGCAGUGAAACUUGACUUGGAGGAGCUUGAGCAUGAGACCUGAGACUGCUUCCCUUAGACCAUCACGUGGUGAGUGAUAAGGCUGAUGACCAUUCUGCAGGCACCAGCCUCCAAGGAAGCCCCUCAUCUUGGAGGAGGUCUCCUGGCUGGAAGCUGAGCUAGAUUUAAUUUUCUGGGAAGGCCCCUUGGCUGAGCCCUCUGAACUCCCGCUGGGUUCAGAGUAGGCCAAGGCAUCUAUACUCCCCUUUUCCUUCUCUCUCUCUCUCUCAUUCUUAAUUUCUUCCUUCUGUUGUAAAUAAACCACCAUAAAAUUCCAUUCUGACUUGAGUAUUUUGUUAGGAUUUAAAAUUUAAAUCCCUGGCAACCAACUAAAAAUAUAUUCAGUCUCAACCCUAAAUUUUACCCUUAACAAGAUAUCUCUGUCUGAUAUGCCUAAUGACUAAGAUAUAUAAAGAAGGAAAACCAGUAAGUUUCCUAGUGAAUAAGUGAUCAAAAGGAACAAAAAAUAAAAACAGGUAUUCAAAUGAAUUAUAAAUUCUCAAUCCUUUAUUAAAAACUAUAUCAUCUCAAUAAUUGAGAGAAAAAAGGAAAUUAAAACCACUUUGAGAAUUUUACCUCAUAGUCAGCAAAAUGUCAAAAUGAAAAAAUAGAAAUAGUUCAUGUUGGAGUUGUAGGAAUUCAGACAUUUUAGUAUAGUUUUGGAGAUAUGAGUUAGCCUAACCCUGCAAGAAAAUGACUUAGAACUAUUAUAAAAAGUGAAUAUAAUUUGCAUAUCAUUUGACACAGAGACCCCAUUGAUAGACAUAUACCCAAAGGAAGUCAAAAGUAGCCUAGGAAGUCCAAAAUACAACAAAAUAAUUGAUAGUAGUUAGCUUUUUUUUAUUAUUGUUGCAAAGGUCACAAAGAAUCAGACAUGAUUGAAAUGACUGAAAAACAAAAAAAUUGCCUAAACUAUUUCAUCAUGAUUUUACCAAUGAGUUAACUAUUACUCAGGGUUGUAAUUUGCCAAAAAUCAUGCCGAUAGUGAGGAGAAGGGCCAGGAGUCAUCUUCAGAUCAACAGAUUUCUAUCUUGGACCUCAGUUCUCUUAUACCCUUCCCUUUCCAACUUGUCCAACUUGUGAUUACAUUUGAGGGUCUCUUGGCAAAGAAAUGAGUACUUUGCCAUUUCCUUCUCCUCUCAUUUUACAAAUGAGAAAAUUAAGACAAAAAUAGUUAAGUGACUUUCCAAGGAUGUGAAUUUAUAUCUCUUCAGUUCUAUAUCCACAGAACCACCUCUAGAAGCCCUUUGCAGAGCCAUGAUUCUGUGAUUCUGUGAUUCUAUGAUACUAUUCUAUGUUACUAUUUUAUGAUACUAUCAUUCUAUAGGCAUUUCCUGACCCUCUCCACACUACCUUUUUAGUAUUGAAACGUGAUUUAAUUUAUAUAGUGUUCCAAGUGAAGUCCUUCCUCUACCAAUACAGACUGGUAUUUUAUUUGCAAUUUAAGAGUAAUAAAGUAUGGCCUAGAACACUGACAAAUUAAGUUAGCUAUCUGGGAUAAUAUAGCCAGUACAUCUCAGAGACUUAACUUAAAUCUACAUCUUACUAAAUCAGAAGCUAACUUUCUCUUGCAGUGACAUUAUGUAACUCUCUGACUAUAUCUAUCAUUCACAUUUCCUUUGUUUAAAUUAAUUCAUAUAAACAUCUUAUCUCAAUCAGUAACUUAUAAAAAAUAAUACCAUUCAUAUCUCCAGGAUAUCUAAAUAUCAAAGUCUUUUGGAGGUAGUGAACCCUCAUUAAAAUAUUUGAUGAAUCAAUUAAAUUAAUUGAAGUAGAUCAAUGGGAAACUCUAAGAAACUUUAGAAAGAGAGUGAAUCUCUAACAAAUCAAUUAUAAAAUCAUUCAGGGCUUUUAUAAGAAAUCAUUAAAGUUAAAAAAAGAAUCAGCAGAUAAAAGAGAACAAGUAAAAGGAUAUCUAAAGCAAAUGACUGAGAAUGGAGUAAAAUGAAGAAAACUAAACACCAUUGAAAACAUUGGAAAAAAACAAAUUUUUUCUAUGUCACAAAUAGCUAUCUUAAUUUGAAUCAAAACUUAAGAAUACAUUAAAAAUGUUUAAUAAUGUAAAAUUAAUGUAUAUUCAUACUUUCUUUGAAUUUUAAAUUAUCCAGAUGUUUAUUCUUUAACUUAGCUAUAGUAUAAAGCAAUAUCUGAAAGUGAUAAUUAUUUUCCUUUGUUAAAUGAAUGUGCCUUAAAGCAGCCCCUUGAAGGCAAUGUCACCAUGAAUAUUGUCUAAAUUGUUUCAUCUCUCUGGGCCAGUUCCUUUAUUUGUACAGGGUAGCAAUUCAACUUUAUGCUUUUUAGACUUUACAUUCUGUGGGUCUAUCAAAUCUGCCCUUUAUUUUGCAUUUUCUUUUUAAUCCUGAGUGCUUCGAUGCCUGUAAUAUAGUAAGCAUUGAAAAAUGCUUGUUGAUUGAUUAAUGGAAUCAUAUUUUCUUUGCUAUCCAGUGGCAAUGAGGAGAUCUUUAACUAUUUGAGUGCUCUCUAAAAGAGAAAAAAUGUAUAUAGAGAACUUCACAAAUAAACUUAAUAUUCUCAUAAAUACUUAACAACCAGAUCUCUGAAAAAAAUACUCCGGGUGCAUUUUAAAAAUAAUGUGGUUUGUUUUUCCAGAUUACAUGUUGAUACAAGUUUCAAUAAUUUUUUCUGACAUUUUUUGGAGCUACAUUAAGAUGUACUUAUAAGUUUAAUUUGCAUCAUUAACAUUUCUCCAUCAUGUUGCUAAGAUCAGUCAAUCAAUACCAAAAAAUGAAUCAAACCCUAAUUUUUAGUGUUUGCUAAUUUCUGAUGUUGAAAUAUUCAUACUGAAUGCUCAUACUGAAAUUAUAAAAAUCUCCUGAGCCAGGGUCAAUAUGGUUCCAGCAUACCCCUUAAUUAAGGUAAUAAUAUUUCAUAAUUUUCUUUUAUAAGACUUAUCUAUAUUUUAAAGAUGCUUUACUUUCAAAGGUGCUAUUAGUAAUUACAAUGUCUUAGUUGAUAUUUUUGUUUUGUUUUGUUUUCAUUUCAGUUUAGAAGUAUUCUAAAAACUAACAUAAAUCAUUGUAUUUACUAGAAUCAAUGUGAUUGCGCUGUUUAAAUGACCUUUAGACCUUUUAAAUAAAUACAUGUAUGCAUAGCAAUUUAAAAUUUAGGCCAAGAUAUAUUACAAUAGAAUAUAUCUUUGCAUAUAUUUGCAGGUCAUAAGUUUAGUUUUGUUUUGAUUAGAUGAAGAUGAAAAAGAGAGGAUCAGGAUAGAUCUGGAUGCUCUGACCAGAAUGUAGACAAAAGGACUAGUUCAAAAUGAGGGACUAUAUAUAGGAUUACCAAUGACUAAGUGGGGUUGCUACUCAAGAUUCUUGCCUAUCAAAUAUAAAUGCUAUGGAUUUUUUUUUAUUUCUGAAAAAUAUUAAAUACAUAAAUCAAUUUAUUCAUAUCUUUUUAAUUAACUGGAAAAUAAAUCUUUUGAGGGCAGGAAUUAUUUUCUGUUCGUUCUUUUAUCUUUGUAUCUCACAAGGCACCCAGUACAUUUAAGAUAUCUGAUUUGUGAGUGUGUUUGAUAGAAGUCUGAUGACUAUACCUGUUAAAUUUCCAUUCUUUUAAACUUAUAGGUACCAGUCUUAAAAACGGGAAUAUUAAAUGAGGUAGAAAGGAAGGAAAAUAAAUAAAAUUCAUUUGAUUCAAUUCUCCAAUUUUUUUAUGUAAUUAGACUUAGUACUGCCCCAUUUUGAAAAUAAUUUACACAAAAACUGGUUCAGCACAGGCAGAAUCUACCUUAAUAUAUCCAGUUUCUAGAUUUGCCCACAAUAUGUACAGGUUUCCUUUCCAUUUAUAUGACUAUUUAUUAUAAAUAAUUCACUUAUUUCUAUAACAUCUUUCUAAAAUCCAUUGUUAAAUAAACACACAGACAAGUUUGAAUAUUAAAGCAUAAAAAAUAGUUCAUAUAGGAAUGGAUUGAGAACCAUGACUAGAGAGAUGAAGUCCUGAGUUCAAAUAUGGCCUCAGAUACUUCCUGAGUUCAUGAUCCUGGGUCAGUCACUUAACUUCCAUUGCCUAGCUCUUACGUCUUCUGUCUUGGAACCAAUACACAGUAUUGAUUCUAAUAUGGAAGAUGAGAGUUUUAAAAAUUCAUAUUUUAAUAUAGCAGAUUUAGAGUUUCACCCAGGAAGUAGAAGCUUCUACUUUCUUAAUCCAGGGAACUCCAGUUUCUCCAGAAAAUUUUUGGCCAGCCAGUAAGCAGCCUUCUAAAAUAAAAUGUGAGAAGGGCUUCUGUCCUUUUUCUAGUUUUACAAAUCUACUUCAACAAAUUUUAAAAUCUUAUUAAGGAAACAUCAUCUAGUUCAAGUUGCCAAUUUAACAUUUGAGCAAACCAAGAUCACAGAAGUUAAAUAGCAUAAAAGACUCCAUAGAUAAUGAGUAUUAGUGCCAAGUCUAAAAGGUAGCUCACCUGGUUCCUAGUAGAAAGGUUUUCUGACUACAUCAUCCUCUAGAAAAGAAACCAUUCUUCCUGCUUGUGUAUGUUCAAUCAAGAACACAUGAAAAAAAAAUUUCAGUAGUGCCUAGACUUAGCACUACAUGCCUCAAAUGUUGGCUUGUUUUGUCUAAAAAUUUCUGCAUGCAUUUGUUGCACAAGGAGUUGCACAAAGAAGUGUGUGUUGGCUUUGAAAUUUCAAUUGUUCUAAUUCUUCUACCAGAUAUAUACCAAAGAUAAAACCUGAAUAAUUAAUAAUCAUUUUGGAAGACUUUAAUUCUUCUAUGUAGAUGAAAACAAUGACUUGAAAUGUCCCCAAAAAGUAAAUAUUCCUAGGGAAGAGCUAGUUUCCUUAUUAAGAUAUUUAUUUUUAUUAUAUACUUGUCUAUUAAUUGAUUUUUAAUGUGUCUAUGCUAAUAUAUACGUACAUGAACAAAAAAUAAAUGAUGUGUAGCUAAUCAUUCAGCCUAGAUGUACAAGUUUUAAAAUAAACUUAAAGAACAUAAUUUCAAUAUAUUCAUAAAUGAAAUUAUACUCUAAUUUUUUUAUCCUUAUUACUUUGCUGUAGCACUUCCUAAUAUUCAAAAUGUUUUGGGUUCACUAGUAAAUUAUUCAUAUAUAUUUCUAAAAAGUUACCUCAGUUCUAUAUAAAUAGUUCUAUAUAAAAUAAUCCUGUGCAAAAAAGUAAUAGAUAAUUUUAUUGAUAAGUAACAUGACAUAUAGCAUUAAGUGAAUAAACAGGAUCAAUAAUUUUCUUCUGCUACAUUAAAGGAAAAAGAAACACUAUAAUUAAUUAGAAUGUCCAUUUCAGUUGGAUGUGCUAUUAAUACAUUUCUGGAGAUAUUUCCAUCAAUUUGUUGGACUAAUAUUAGCAUGAUGACAUAUGCAUUUUUUUCUACUUUCAUUAAUCCAUUCCUCAUUCAAUUAGGAAAAUAAAUAUCCAUAAAUUAGGAAAGAAAGGCCAAGCUGGAAGUGGUAUGGCAUUAGAAGAAUUUUUUUUGUUUUGAUAAAUAUUACUCUUAUUUUUAUGCGAUAUUGCACUUGACCAAUGUAAUAAAUAUACAUUGUACAUUGUACAUUUAACAAUUCAGAAUAUUAGUUUGUAAUAAAACUUAAAGACAUGUUUUCUAAUUUUUCUAUACUUAUAAAAUAAUUAAUUCAUUUUUGCCAACAAUAAAUACAAAUUUCACUAACAUUUGGUUUACCUUUGGACAACGCCUUGUUUUUUUUAUCCUCCUUUCUUCCCAAUUAAGAACCACCACAAUUUAUAAAGCGUUGACAAGUCAUACUUUUCUAUCAAAGAUAAACUAGCUUUGAAAAACAGUUCAUAAAACAUAUACAAUUAAAGAUCUAAUGAAAAAUUUUCAGGCAAAUGAAGGAAUUAGUCUAAAACACUAAAAUAACUUUUGCAGCUCUCCCGAGGUGACAGAAGUCAAUAGUUUCAGUCCCUUUCAACUAGACCCCCUUCUCGACACUGAAUAGUUAAAAGUGCCUAAAAGGGGACCAGCUACACAAAAUACCUAGUCUCUAGUCUCUGAACUUAUAUAGCAAAAUACCUGUGGCUGUGUCUUCUGUCUCUCUUAUUUUCAGUCCACUAAUACUCUGAGCCAUCUUUGUUCUUUUCCAGUGAAAUUGAAAGCAUAUCCUUGCCCAUAGAGAAAUCUGUUCCAAUACCCAGAUGUGGGACUAUAUUUUUUUUAAAAAGGAUUAUCCACAUUUCCUUUACCCAAUUUAUUUUUCAAAGCAUUUUUUUCUCACAACCCCAGAAGUUAACUGCCACUAAUAGUAUCAAUACAAUUUUAUAAAUAAGACUAUAAGCAAAGUGAAGUAACUUGAUUAGAUAACAAGAGUCAGAUUCAGAAUUCAAAUCUAGAUCUUUCCUAAAACCAAAGCCAAUAUACUAUUAGUACCUUACAUGAUUGCCUAACAUGGCCCUAAAAGAAAUAAUUCAGUCACCUAUCCAUAGAACAACUAAUUCUGAGAUCAACUCACUACCUAGGUGAUUAUAUAGGAUUUACUAGACGUAAUCAAGUCCCAUUCUUGCACUUUCCAGUUUGGCUUCUCCAAAUUAUAGAAUCUUAUUUCUUCAUUGGAUCUUGGAGAUCAUCUGAUACAAUUUGCUCAUUUUAGAAUUGACCAACCUGAAGGCUAGAUAAAAUCUAAUUAAGCCUAUGUAAUCAGAUGUGGAGAGAGUGGAUAACAGAGCCAAGACUAAAAUCCAUGUUUCCUUUAUUGUGGGUGGGGAGCCUUCUUACUCAUUAAUACUUAAAAAAAAAAUCUUGAGUUAGAUCAAAAUUAAUUAUUUUUAAAAACUGGUUUUCUUAUCUUUUCCAGCAUUAUUCUUUGAAUUAAGAGAGGAAUUAGGGAGGCAAUGUUUUAUUUUGCCAUCAUUAUUUUUUUUUGCAUUAAAAUUAUGACCUAAAUCUCCCUAAAUUAAAAUACUUUGCUUACAGGACAAAUGAGGGGAAACAAAAGCCUUUCAAGAAUGAGUUACUACACAUUUGGGAUUGGAGCCCCUGCCUAUUUAAUUGUAUUUUAAAUGAAUUAUCAACCAUAAUCAAAUGCUAAAAUGUGAAAAAAUUAAAUAUUCUGCCUGAGGAUGAAUGAAUGUUUAUGUAUACACUUAAUAGUUAACUAAAAAUGUGUUAGCCAAAAUUUAUUAGUUAAAAAGUUUACUCUUUUAAAAUGGACAUUGCAAUUUAAAUCCUAAAUAGAAGAUCUCUUAAGGCUACCAACAGCAUAUUAAUUGUUUUUUUCUAACAAUAUCACACUAAGAAUAAAAUUAUUUAUGCAUAUCCUCAAUACCAUUCAAACUUGGAAAUACAUAUAUAAAACUUUAUCCUUGUCCAUGGAGAAUAGAUAUAUGUCUAUGAAUGCAGUAGUUUUUAGAGAUGAAUACUAAAACUCAUCUGCUUCAAUACCUCACAAAUCUUUGAUUUCUUGAAUAUUGGUUCUUUCGUAACUGACACUAAUUACAGCUUUCUUGUGAUUUAAUUUCUUCCAAAAUUUCUGUGUACAAAAUACUAUGAUCUGAUGGCUAAACUGAAAUUGGCUUCUUUUCAAAAUUUAAUUACUUUAAACCUUAGACUAUAGUUAUGCAGUUGCUCACCUUUCCUUUGUGGUACCCACAUUCUUCAUCUUUUGCACUGCUGAAAUAACUUUUGAAAAUCCAGUCACAUCUGUGUCAUAAUAAAUGAAGGUUUUAUAUGAGAAAGUCAUUGACACUUAUUAUAUCACAGUUUCUGGUUGUACUUUUAACUUUAAGUGAUGUAAAUUCAAAAUCAGGCUCAGUAGAUAAUGAUGAUGUAUUUGGAGUCAGGGGAUCAAGGCUGUGUUAUUUUGUAUGUAUAGGAGUCAUUUAACCUCUGGAUGUCAACUUCUUCAUCUUAAAAUGAGAAGGUUGGGCUAAAUGAUCCCUAAGUUCUCUUCCAACUCUAAAUCUGUGAAUUCAAAGUACAUAUUUACAAGAAGUGAAACCAAACAUAUUUUGGGCAUGAGUUUGGGUAUGAGGCAAUAUUAUCAAAUCAUCUUUUUUGAAAUACAGUGACAAUUAAGUAUUUAAAAUGCAUAUGUAUAAUACUGUUCUGUUGAAAGGUACCCUUUUGAUUCAUUUAGGACUUUCCAAAACUGAGAAGCAUUCCACCUAAGCAAAUGUCUGGGUUUAUAAGCUCCUCUCAGUAGUGAUAGAAAAUGAUAUGAUUUCAGAUCACUCAGACACCUUUAGGGAAACCUGUUCAGUUUAUGAUCCAACUUGAGUUUCACAUCCAUUCAAGAAUAGAUGGGAUAAUCAGUAUUUGAAUUUGUCCCCUAGACUUGCCAGCUUUAUUAAAAGCUCUGAAAAGGAAGGAAAAGCAGGAUAAAUGUGGACAUUAUUUCAAUUUGCUCUUUUUGAAAUAAUUGUUAUGAUAUCAUUCUAUUUUAGGAUUAUAUAGGGUUUCCCAUCUAUAGUCCAAAAGAGACAUAGAAGGUAUAAGAGCAUAUAGAUAGAACUAGAAGAGACCUUUUUGUCCAAACUUCACAUCAGGGAGGCUAAGGAAUAUUAAAUGAUGGUCUAAGAUCACAUUGUCAAGAAUGGGAUUCAAACUGAGAACCUGUGACUCCCAUUUCAGACCUAUUUGUACUUUCCCACAUUGUUCUACUAUAGGUAGGUUUACAGUAACCUAAAUGCACGGUUGAGUAAUCAAUGAAAUCUUUUGGUUAUGUUUGGUUCAUUUUAAGAAUAAUUUAAAAGGCAUUCAAUUUAAAAAAUGAUAGAGUGUGGGGUGGGUGAGAAAGGAGGAAAUUUGAUUAUAAAAUGGAUAAAUGUUUCACAGUAGUGCUUUAUAGAAGUAUUUCAGGGACUCUCUUCAUCCUCAAAGAUCUAAGGGGAACAAAAUAAAAUGAAGUUUUUUUUUUAAUUUUAUCUAAUUGUUUAAUUUAGAGUAUUUUUCAAGGAUUACAAAAAUCAUGUUCUUUUCCUUCCCUCCUCCCAAACCCCUCCCAUAGCUGACACAGAAUUCCACUGGGCUUUGCAUGUGUCAUUGGUCAAGACCUCCUUCCAUAUUAUUUAUAUUUGCACAAGGAUGAUCAUUUAGGGUUUAUAAUCCCAAUCAUAUUCCCAUUGACCCAUGUGAUCAAGCAGUUGUUUUUCUUUUGUGUUUCUACUCCCACAGAUGUUCAUGCUGAAUGUGGAUAGCGUUCCUUCUUAUAAGUCCUUCAGAAUUGUCCUGGAUCAUUGCAUUGCUGCUAUUAGAGAAGUCCAUUACGUUCGAUUGUGCCACAGUGUAUCAGUCUCUGUUUAUAAUGCUCUCCUGGUCCUGCUCCUCUCACUCUGCAUCACUUCCUGUAGGUCAUUCCAGUUCACAUGGAAUUCCUCCAGUUCAUUGUUUCUUUGAGCCCAAUAGUAUGCCAUCACCAACAGAUACCACCAUUUGUUCAGCCAUUCCUCAAUCAGAGGGCAUCUCCUCAUUUUCCAAUUGUUUGCCACUACAAAGAGCACAGCUAUGAAUAUUCUUGUACAUGUCUUUUUCCUUAUUAUCUCUUUGGGGUACAAACCCAGCAGUGCUAUGGCUGGAUCAAAGGGCAGACAGUCUUUUAGUGCACUUUGGGCAUAGUUACAAAUUGCCUUCCAAAAUGGUUGGAUUCAUUCACAACUCUACCAGCAAUGCAUUAAUGUCCCAAUUUUGCCACAUCCCCUCCAAAAUUUUUACUUUCCUUUGCUGUUAUGUUAGCCAAUCAGCUAGGU